GAUGAGCGUAGUGCCAUUUCUGCUAAGCCAAUACCAAUACUGACAGGUACCCUCUUUCUCUGCUUAUAUCUUUAUCAACUUUUCACUUGGGUUUGUUUUGUUUCUCUAUCUUUUUGUUUAUCAAAAUUUGUUUUACCGAUUUGUUUCUCUGGGAGAAUCUAUGGAACGCAAAAAUGGAGUAGGGUUUAUCGAAAAGGGUUUAUCUUGUUGAUUUUUGUUUUAGUAAAUCCCUAAAGAAACAAAGCAGUUAGCAGUCUCUCCCUCUUCAGAUCGAAACAGUCUCCCUCAAACCAGUCUCUCUCGGUCUCUCCCUCUUCAGAAACAAACCGCGCCAGUCUCUCUCCCUCUUCAGAUCAAAAUUCAGGCAGUGAUUGAGAAACAAGACAUUAAUAUAUUGUGCUGAAGAGCUUGGUGGGAUUUAGAAAAUGAUACGAAUCUUAAAGAUUAAGCCCCUAAUAUCUUUGCUUGAGUCUUCUUCUAGCCACCACUUCCUUCAGAGGUGCUUUGUGAGUGGGACUUCAAAGGGCAAGGCGAAGGUGAAAACUGCAGCCCCGCUGAAGCGCUCAAAGAUAACUACGAAAAAGGGUUCUGCAGAUGCUGCUCCUAAAGGUGCAGGAGGGAAAAGAUAUGCUGAAAGAGAAAAGUUUUAUGAGCAAUGCUUAAGUGCACCUACACCUGUCAGGUACCUGACGGAGAAGGAGAAACAACGUGAAGCCGAGUGAGCGAAGUUGGGACUUAUUAGCAAAGAUCGACAGCGUGAAAUUGAUAUGAAGAAAAAGAAUAAGCCAGAAUUUCAGAUCUCGGAAAAACCAACAGUUAUUGGACCUCCUGGUUUGGAUUUGAUAUCACUAGGUUUGGUUGAUGAGGAGAAGUUACCAAAAUAUGAACUGACUGCUGAAGAUGGCCAGCGGCUUGCUAAGGAGUAUAGCAGGGUGUUGAUGAGGUGUCACCGGGCAAGGCAAGCAGCAGAGUCAACACUUGCGUUUGAAGAAGGAGGCUAUUGAGGCAUUGCAUGAACAUUUGAAAGCAGCAGCAUUGGUGCCAGACAUGACUCCAUUCCCUACAGAUCGGUUCAUGGCAAUUCUGACUCCUCCAAUUGAAGGCUACAUUGAGAAGGUUAAGGAAGCUGCACGGAGGAGCAGUGAGAAGGGGAAGCUCAGAUAACCAGAGGUAGAGUUAUGCUUGCAUGUUAGGACUUAUUUGGUUGUUGGAACACUAUCUAUUACUGAAGUUGAAACUUGACUUCAGGAAGUCGCACAUUCACGCCAAAGUGAUGAAAAGAGUUGCUAUGUUAGAUCUAAUCCUUGUGUUUUAGUUAAUAAUAUGCCUGCAUGCUUUUGAUAAUUCCAUGUGGGCUAAAAUUUGUGUGACCAAAUCUGUUGAAUUUACGUGUUUGCAAGGUUUUAUAGUAACUUUGGUUUCCUUAUC